rfam:Azotobacter vinelandii DJ, complete genome.
CCUUCUGUUCAGCCAGAAAGUAGCCUAGGGACAGUGCGUCGCCGGUAACGGCGGGGUGCGAAGCGUCCUGACAAUGUAGCCCCAUGAUGUCUGUGGUGCGUGGUCGCCGCGAGGCGCCAUGCAGACCCUGCGAGCAACACGCGGGCGAGGCG